GAUGAACGCUGGCGGCGUGCCUAAUACAUGCAAGUCGAGCGAACAGACGCGGAUCUUGCUCCUCUGACGUUAGCGGCGGACGGGUGAGUAACACGUGUAUAACCUACCUGUCUUAGUGGGAUAUCUUCGGAACACCGGAGCUUAUACCGGAUAAUAUAUUGCACCGCAUGGUGCAUUAGUAAAAUACGGUUUUUGUGUCACUAAUAGAUGGAUCUGGGCCGCAUUAGCUAGUUGGUACGGUAACGGCUUACCAAGGCAACGAUGCGUAGCCGACCUGAGAGGGUGAUAGGCCACACGGGAACUGAGACACGGUCCAGACUCCUACGGGAGGCACCAGUAGCGAAUCUUCCGCAAUGGGCGAAAGCUUUACGGAGCAACGCCGCGUGAGUGAUGAAGGUCUUCGGAUCGUAAAACUCUGUUAUUAGGGAAGAACAAAUUUGUAAGUAAAUAUGCACGUCUUGACGGUACCGAAUCAGAAAGCCACGGCUAACUACGUG
rnacentral:rRNA from 1 species